rnacentral:rRNA from 1 species
GACGAACGCUGGCGGCGUGCCUAAUACAUGCAAGUUGAGCGAUGAAGAUUGGUGCUUGCACCAAUUUGAAGAGCAGCGAACGGGUGAGUAACGCGUGGGGAAUCUGCCUUUGAGCGGGGGACAACAUUUGGGAAACGAAUGCUAAUACCGCAUAACAACUUUAAACAUAAGUUUUAAGUUUGAAAGAUGCAAUUGCAUCACUCAAAGAUGAUCCCGCGUUGUAUUAGCUAGUUGGUGAGGUAAAGGCUCACCAAGGCGAUGAUACAUAGCCGACCUGAGAGGGUGAUCGGCCACAUUGGGACUGAGACACGGCCCAAACUCCUACGGGAGGCAGCAGUAGGGAAUCUUCGGCAAUAGACGAAAGUCUGACCGAGCAACGCCGCGUGAGUGAAGAAGGUUUUCGGAUCGUAAAACUCUGUUGGUAGAGAAGAACGUUGGUGAGAGUGGAAAGCUCAUCAAGUGACGGUAACUACCCAGAAAGGGACGGCUAACUACGUG